AACUUCUAAUGGUGGAUCGCUCGGCUCGUGGGUCGAUGAAGACCGCAGCAAAAUGCGUGUCAGCAUGUGAAUCGCAAGAUUAUGAGAUGCAUCGACCAGUUGAACGCACAUUGCGGCGACGGCACUGCCCAGUGUUGUCGCCACUCCCGGACGAGUGUCU